UGCAGCCCUAGGUCUUACGGGGUUGGUACAGCAUGGAGGGUUUGAGAUCCUUCCAGAACGACUUCAGCUGUCCGAGCUCCACUUUAUUCAGAGGGAUGGAGACCUCCCCGAUCGGGUCGUUACGGCUGAAGCGAUCGUAAUCCAGCACCUGGAGAUACAGCGUUCGUUCCCGCACCUUCUCAUACG